rnacentral:rRNA from 1 species
AUUGAACGCUGGCGGCAGGCCUAACACAUGCAAGUCGAGCGGAUGAAGGGAGCUUGCUCCUGGAUUCAGCGGCGGACGGGUGAGUAAUGCCUAGGAAUCUGCCUGGUAGUGGGGGAUAACGUCCGGAAACGGGCUCUAAUACCGCAUACGUCCUGAGGGAGAAAUUGGGGGAUCUUCGGACCUCACGCUAUCAUAUGAGCCUAGGUCGGAUUAGAUAGUUGGUGGGGUAAAGGCCUACCAAGGCGACGAUCCGUAACUGGUCUUAGAGGAUGAUCAGUAAGACUGGAAGUGAGAAAGGGUAGAGACUCCUACGGGAGGAAGCAGUGGGGAAUAUUGGACGAGGGGGGAAAGGGGGAUCUAGCGAAGCGGGGGGUGUGAAGAAGGUCUCAGGAUUGUAAAGUACUGUAAGUUGGGGGGAAGGGAAGUAAGUUAAUAGCGUGCUGUAUUGACGUUACCAACAGAAGAAGCACCGGCUAACUUCGUG